AAUGAACGCUGGCGGCAGGCCUAACACAUGCAAGUCGAACGGAUCCUUCGGGAUUAGUGGCGGACGGGUGAGUAACGCGUGGGAACAUACCCAAAGGUACGGAAUAGCCCCGGGAAACUGGGAGUAAUACCGUAUGUGCUCGAAAGAGGAAAGAUUUAUCGCCUUUGGAUUGGCCCGCGUUGGAGUAGGUAGUUGGUGGGGUAAUCGCCUACCAAGCCGACGAUCCAUAGCUGGUUUGAGAGGAUGAUCAGCCACACUGGGACUGAGACACGGCCCAGACUCCUACGGGAGGAAGCAGUGGGGAAGCUUAGACAAUGGGGGAAACACUGAUCGAGCCAUGCCGCGUGAUCGAUGAAGGCCUUAGGGUUGUAAAGAUCUGUCAGGUGGGAAGAUAAUGACUGUACCACCAGAAGAAGCCCCGGCUAACUCCGUGCCAGCAGCCGCAGUAA
rnacentral:rRNA from 1 species